rfam:Armatimonadetes bacterium 55-13 SCNpilot_expt_500_bf_scaffold_103, whole genome shotgun sequence.
CCUCUACUUCAACCGAAUUGAGACAACCCACUCAAACGGGGGACCCAUUCCUUUGUGGGGCGAAUCGCAACCGCGUAGGCUGCUCUCAUGCCGAGCCCGUCAGCUAACCCCGUAGGCAAACCGAGAGAUCUG